AUGGAUCCGCGUGAAACGGCAAUCGGACUUGUCCGAUAUGUCACCGAAAAUGCGGCAAAGGAUUUCGACGGAGAAUCGAUUGCAGCAAUUAUUUACAGACUACGGGUUGUUGAAAAUUAUGUAAGCAGCGAUGUCGACAUUAUCUGCGAAGCAAUGCGAAUUUUAAUCAAAAAACUUGUAAAUCUACCUCCAAUAACAUUUUCUCCGGAUGUUUGGAUGCCUAUAAUGACAUCUAUAACCGAAGGUGCAAUUGAACCACAAUGGCGAAUCAUGAUGGAAUCAAUCGAUAUUUCCAAGUUUUCUUCGACUUCUUCUAAUUUUGUGCAUAUGGAUUCCAUUACUGCAUCUUCUACAAAAUGUUCCGAACAGAUCACAUCAAUUUGCAAGGGAUUCGCUCUUGAAUUCGGAUUGACUCGUCGACUUUUCUCAGCUAUUUGGAACACUGAUCUUGAAGAAACAGCGCGUAAAAUGAUGAAUCAGGAGUGGGAUUCUGUGAAAAUCGAUUCAAGCCCAGACUCGGCGAAACAAGCGGCUGGUCUUAUUGAGAAGAGCAUUUUUGAUUUAUUCUCCGAGAUGAAGGAUCAUGAAACAUUCGCGAACGAAUUGUACUAUGCAGCGUUGGCGAGAAUUUUGAAACGCCUCCAAGAAAAUAAAAAACCGGCAAUUCAAGAUUCAGAAGACAUUUCAUUUUACGAAUCUUCACUUCACAUCUACGACGAGCUAAUCAAAAAGUUAUGGCCACAUUUAUCGAAAAAAGAUCCAAAUGUCAAAAAGAAUACUCUCAUCAUUUUUGAGAAAUUAAUUAGUCUAUCACCAACUGAUGUUCUUGUUCAAAGAAUCACUGAAAAAUUUAUUGACUCUUGUGAAUGGCUGAAAAUCAGUGGAGAAGAGAUUUGUACAUCGAUGGAACCGAGACUCUGGAAAAUUGUUGGAUCUCUGGUUUCAAGGAUUUUGGAUUUAAAAAAGACGAUUCCAUAUGAAAUUGAUUGUGGACCAGAUAGUUUCGAUUCAACAUGCGAUCAACCAUCAAACAUGAAAGAACGAUUUCUGAGACAUAUGGUGGAUUCGGUAUGGAUUUUAAUUCAAAUUACACAUUUUAAUACCCAAAAAAAGUAUUUCCAGACACGCAGCUCGUUGUUAAGCAUCAUUCAAUUUCUUCGGACGGCCAAAAGCAGCGAAGAAAUUGUGCAAUUUAUGAGAGUUUUCUAUCCAGAGCUCGUAUUCGGAAAUGAGACACUGAUCACCCAUGCAGCAAUUGAAAUGCUCCGCGAGUCAGCAUCACAUCACUCAAUUAAGGCAGAUGAUUUUAUUUCAAUUGUGCUCUCAGUCAUUGAUGCUCCGGCGAUUGUUCGUAUUAUUGAUGUUAUUAGUUGUAUUAAAGAUGAAAAAGUACGAAAAGAAGCAGUUGAGAAGACAAUAAUUCGAAUGGCAAAUGAUUUGGAGGAUGAAGAUCAGAAAAGAGAAGGAUAUGUUAAUCAUUUACAUGAAAAUGGAUCGUUUUGGAAUGAUAUUGCAAAAUAUGCGGAUGCUUCAAUACUUGAUAAAGCUGGAAAACGAUUUGUGGAAGUUUCAGUUGAUAGUAUGGAUAUUCGAUCAUCGGUUUUAGCUACAGACAUCUUUUUGACAAUUCUCAAGUUAAAACUUACCUCCGAAGCUGAAAGGGAGCCAGAGAGCUGUGUUAUUUGUAAUGUUUCCUACUCGAAUAUCAAAAUCGACUUGGAAAAAUGGAAUAAAAUGGGAAAUAUCCUUGUGGAGUGCAAUAUGGUUAAACGAUCCAAAUCGGAAGCUCUACCGCUCUUCACUAUUCAUCAAUUGGAGAAUAUUGAUCUACCGAUGCGAGAUUUGGUGUAUGUUGUUACUCAAAUGAAGUUUCUCGACACGAAAGAAGGAAUGGAGUUGCACAGAAAAUUCUAUGAUGGACUUCCAGGUGUCAACGUGAUUUUUGAAAAGUUCAUGUCGAAAAGUCAUAAAAUUGAACUUUGUAUGAAGCUCCUCGAUGAAUUUGCAAAGAUCAUUGCGAUCAACGAGAAAAGUUUGAUAUUCAGUCUGGAUCAUGAGAAUAUUCUAGAUUGGCUUGAAGAGAUUGGAGUUCUUGAUUCACCACAAAUCACUGAGAAACUUGUCGAUAUAUGCUUCUCAAUUGAAGUAUGGGAUGUUCUAACACUACUGCAACUUGAUGGUCCUGAAUGCCAUUAUUGGGAUUUACAAAUGUUUGGAAGAUUCUGGAAAACGUCUCUGAUGGAUUUAUUAGAUGAGAAAAUGAUGAAGAAGGUUAACGAGAAAAUGGGAUCGAUUUUAAAGGAACAAUAUGACAAACAAUCUCAUGUUGCAAAGGCGACACGCGAGAAACGAUCUAAUGGAAAAUUCCCGAAUCGUCCGAAAGUUGCCGAUUGGGAAGAGCAGCUUCUUCUGAUGCACAAUCGAAUUGCCGGACAUCUUACGAAGAAGAAGGUCGAGGAUUUUGCAGACGAGUCAACACAAAAGUUCACAUGGCUUUUGGGAGUAUGCAGUGGGCAAAUGUCGUAUAAAAAGGAAGUUGCUGUUGAUGCGGAGAAGAUUCUUUCGAGACUUUAUCCAGAUGCUGAGAAGCGGAACGAGGUCCUUUAUCAUUUUGGUGUGUCGUCGAUAUUGAAGGGACUGGAUAGGCCACGUGGGAAAUUUUCCAGAUCACUUCACAUUCUCUUCAUGCAAAUCUACCUCGACCUCGUCCAAAUUGACUCAAAAUCCUGGAAAAUAGAUGAUUCUGUGCAAAAACUAAGCCGCCGACUCGGAGGCUUCAACGAAUGGCUUAUGAUAGUUGAUGAGGAGAAACGAGAAGAUGAUGGUGGAUUCCGUAUUUAUAUUGUUCUCAAUUUAUCCCAUUAUUUCUGGGAAUUGCUCGAAGGCUGUAAAGCUUCACAAGUUGUCGAUGCUCACGCUAUUUUGAAAAUCAGAAAAUUCGCAGAAGUACUUGCAAGCAUUUUGGAUAAAAUUACUUUUUGGCCGAAUCCAAAACUUCAUGCCUACUACUACAUUGCACAAUUUCUCGAGCCACUUGAAACUAUUUUCCAUUUCCCGGAAAUUGCCGAACAAAAUCGAAAAGUUAUUGAAUCAUUCUUUAAACAAUUGUUUGAUAAGCUCCUCGAGCAAAAAUACCAGGAAGGACUUCUACAGGAUACGAAACUCAUUAUUCAGAAAACGGAUAAAUAUCUGUCGUCUUCAUUGAAUCUGUUCAAUGAGUAUAAUACACAAGAACCAUCGAAAAUCUAUCCGGUUAACGAGAUUUUCUCACUUUUCUGUAGAUAUGGAUCGGAAAAUGUGCAUUUAUAUUGUUUAAAGAUGAUUAAGAAGUCAUUGCAAACACUCGCAUCGAAUAUUUUGGAGCAUGAGCACAUUUUAAAGGGAGAAGUAUGCAUUGAAACGGAACUUCAAAAACGACUUGUCUGUGAUGCUGUUUUGCUCACCGAGUUCUUUGGAUAUUUCAGCUGCAUUUACGCCCAAGUUUCUGAAAACCAACCAUCCGAACACGAUGACGUGGCGAAGGCAUUUAUGCUUCUUGACUCGGAUAUUCAUUUAAAAACGAAAUCACGUAAAAGAAGUACACAGAAUAGUGUAGCAGUGGGUAGUCAUCGACAUCAAACCGCCGAGAAUAUGGAUUUGAACUUUUGUACUUACAAAUCCACUGGAAGAGCAUACGUGACCCAACAUUGGUACAACUGUUAUACGUGUAACAUGAUGGAAUCCGAAGGUGUCUGCAGUGUAUGUGCUAUCAAUUGUCAUCGAGGACACGAUCUUGCUUAUUCGAAAAAAGGAUCAUUCUUCUGUGAUUGUGGUGAAAAAAAGUGUGGAGCUAUGCAGGGAAUUUAUCAUUUACCGAAUUCGAUGUACUCGCUGAGAGGACAACUUCCCGAAAAAAAUGGAGAUAAAACAUUGCCUAAAAUCAGAAAUGUUUUUGAGCAUCGUUUUGAGAAUUUGAACAGCAACUGCUGCGAUGAGCUCAAGUCUGCGUUGAAUGAUGUUCAGGAAGAGUUUAAGGAAGUUCAAGAUGAUUUGGAACAGAUUCUUGAAGCUGUCGACUUUGCCAAUCAAAAAGCUUUACAAGUGACAGAGGAGCGGCUGGCAGUCUUAGAAUCCUUCAAUGAUAUGGAUGAUGUUAUAAUUUCUGAAAAAGAAAAGUUUAUUGAACCACUCGAAUCAGGACAUUUCCUUCCAACACGGAGAGAUGAUCUACCAGUCCAAGAACUUCGUGUUGCUUCUUCUCAACACAAAAUUCGAGAAUUAUCAGAUAUUAUUAAGUUGGACGAUGGAACAGAGCUUCUUGUAUUGAUACCUGAAAGUAUUCAAACAUGCCUUCAGCUGCACUAUAUGGAUACGAGAACUAAUUUGAUUCAAGGAAUGCACGCACUUCGUACAGAAACCGAACAAAUUCCAUUCAAUGCCAGAAGUCUUCAUGUUUCCGGUAAUCGAUUGGUCGUUUGUGGACAAUACGAGUUCUUUGCGCUGCGAUUUUCACCUCAAGGAGAUGUUAUCGAUAGAGCACAUAUUAAAUUGUUGGAAAAUGGAGCCUCAUCUUCUAUGAAUAAUAAUCCGGUUGUUCGUGCAAAGUUUUGUAGGGAAAUCGAGUCGGAUAAAAGGAGAAGACAGUUGAUUGCAGGUUUAUUUCGAGAGAAAGAAAAAUGUUUUUAUAAAAUUGCAGUACAUUUUUUCAAAAAUGAACAGCAGUGAUAUGUUUUCAACCAAAAAAAAUUAAAUACAAAUUUUCCCGAAUUUUUUCCUCCUUUUGACGAAAAGUUAUUGCAUAACAGUUUUCUUUCUGUUUUUGGCCUGGAAAAAAAUUUUGCAACAAAAAAAUUAAAUUUUUGCCUUAAAAAACCAACAAAAAAAUCAACUUUUGAAACAAAAAAACACUUUUUUUGGGAAAAAUCAAUUUCUGCCUAAACAAUUAAAAAUCACAUAAAUAUUUGCAAAAGAUAAAACUAAAAGUAAUCAAUUUUUGCUACAAAAAUUCAAUUCUUGCCUUAAAAAAAUCCAACAAAUCAAUAUAUUGGCAAAAAAGCAAAAAAUAUAUACAAAAAAAUAAUUAUUUUUGCCUUAAAAAAACCACAAAAAAUAUUCGCAUAAAAAAAAGGUAUAUGUUGUCUUAAAAACCAAUAAUACAUUAAAAAAUAUUCUCUUAAAAACCAAUAGAAAAAUAGUCGCAAAAAUUUUCAAAAUGCCCAAAUCUCAAAAAAAAAAUUUGGCGCUUUACCAAAAUUUUGGGAGGCAUUCAAAACAAGAUUUCAUUAAAAUUCUCAAAUUCUUUUACUGGAAACUUUUGAAAAAUCAAACAUUUUCAAAGUUUUGUAAUGAUAUUUAAAAUAUAAUACCUACUAUUCUUUAAAUACCGUAAGACUAUAAUUUCGAAUUUUUAGUUGCCACAAUGCAAUACAUCCGAAUCUACGAUCUGACACUCCACGAAACGAAUUUUGUGGAAGAAAUGGUUCUACCAGCUGGAAAUGUUGAAGAUGUUGAGAUUAUAAAUCAGGAAGAUGGAAAUGUUCGAAUUCUUGUUCUCUCGUCAAGUGGAUAUCUAUACGAACAUAAUAUUUCCGUGUUCAAUGCGGAAAACAAUUCGAUUUUCUUGACAAAUGUUGUGAAUACUCCUGGAAUGGAUAUGAAUGGAGAUGGUGUUUCAUUACAUUAUUCAUCAACUUUUAAUCUUCUUUUUGUUUCUCUUGAAAAUGGAGCAUUUGUUGCUCAACUGCCUGAGCCAACUGGUAAUUCGACGGCUCCGAUUUAUGAUUGGAAACAUUUGAAUAUCAAAAAUCCGGUUGAUGCAUGGAAGGAGACAUCUGGAAUUAUUGCAUGUUUAUCUACAAACUGUAAUCAUCAAGUCAAUUAUUUCCAUCCGACAGUUGGGAAGAUUCUACUACAAAAGACUUCUGUGAAACGAAGUAUUAUGACGUAUUUCCUGAUGACAAGCGCCAAAAAUCAAUCAGUCUACUCGGUUCUCAUCUAUCCGAACGUACCGACUUGUGAGAUUUGGGAGACAUCUUGGAAUAAUGUACAUGAUCUUUGGAUUGAUGAUGUUCCAACCGAACGAUAUGCAGUUGAAGUUGUUGAGCAAAAGAGCACACAGAUACCAAUUGAUCGAGAUGAGCUUGUACUUCUCGCCGAACAGUGCGAACAAAUUCGAACUGUUGAUUGGAAUUGUCGGGAGAUUGGAAUGUUCUACACACAUGAAGAGUUGAAUAAUCGGCUGUCGAGUUCCGACUCGCUGCCGAUUACACUUAUUCAGCAGACACAUUUUAAAUUAUCGGCAAGGAUCACUAAUUUUAGACAAAUCGUGAGAAUGAUUCGAGUUGAAGUUGAGGGUAACACUGGACCGGAAUAUCUGAAAAUCGGAACAACUCGCUAUUCGAUUAGCUCACGUGGUCCAAAAACAUUUGAUCUUCGGCUAUCGCGGGAAGAAUCGCUUGCUCUGGAUCAUCGAGAUAUCACAAUUGAAGUUAUUCCGAGAUCGAAUCAAAAUCGAGUUACACUGAAAAGUCUGAGACUAUUGGGAUGUGAUAGAAGUGCAAUGGACGAGAUUCAACCGAGAUAUGAGAGACAACCGAUUCUUACGAAUUCCAAUAAACUCGUCUAUUCGAUUCUGGAAUUUGCCACGUUGAGUGGGCUUGAAUGGGCUGGAAAUAUGGCGAAAAAGCAUCUUUCACGGAAGUUAAACCAUCCAGCUGUGUGCUCGGUUUCCACAAGAGCAAUUGUUAAAUGUCAUCCAUCUGUUGAUGAAGAGCUGUUCAAAAUUAUUGAUGGAGCAUAUCUUCAAGAAUGGAAAGCGCUUAUCGAUUGGACAGAAUCUGAAGGCUUUGGAGAGAUGCGCCUGCAUCAUGUAGAACAACUUCUCGAUAGAAUGGAAGCUGUCAGAACUCGUUGGCCAUAUUUUGUGAAGUCGUUGAAACGAGAAUUUGGAACAGUCACAAGUUUUGUGGAAUUAAUGAGAAAUGAGAUGAAGAGAAUGCCGUUGCACAGAUGUCAGAUGAUGGCUCAGGCGAUUGUUAAAAUUGUCUUUGGGCUCUUGAGCAAUGGAACUAAUGAGGCAGAGCAGUUGAUUCAUGUGUUCUUGAAUAUUUUUACGGAUCAGGACACUUAUCACUUGGCAAAUGACAUGAGAUCAGCUGUUCAAGAGACGAUUUCAAGAUUUGAAAAUGCUUUGAAAGAAGAGAAAAAGUUGAUGGUAGAACACGAGAAUAUGGAUAAAGAAAGUGUUCUAAGAAUCAAAAACUAUGGAUUUUCCCCGUUCUAUGGAGCUCCAAGAAUUAUUGCAAAGACUCCAGAAUCAAUGCUUAUCGCGAAAAUCGCUGAAACUAUUCCGAUUGAUUCUGAGGAAAACUUCAAAUGGCUCGAACAGCUCAUCUCAAUGAUUUUGGAGAAGCUCACCCGAUCCAACUCCACUGUCACUUGGCAGAAUCUAUCUGAUUCUCCAUCCUACAAUCUUUCUCGUGUCCUGGCAAGCUGUCUUGCUAUAUGUGAUCCCGUUAUAAUCAGAAAUCACUUUUCCCGACUCAUUCAUAUCAUCAAAUAUGACGUUGAGAAGAUCUUCCCGAUGAGUGAAAAAUCCUAUUCAAACUAUUCGUUGCUAAGAUCUGUUGAGCUUCUGCUAUUCGUUUGUCUUGAGAAAAGAGGAGAUGAAUCGAAAGAAAAUCAGGAGAUGCUUGAUUCAAUUGUUCAUGAUCUUCAAGCUGUUGGUAUUCGGAAUUUGUGUCUGAAGAUCUUAGAAAAAGUAAUUCCGCACUGGAAGGAUCGUGGGCCAUCUACAUUUUCGAGAAAUUCAGCGGAAAGUCGGAAGGUUUGGUUGCCACACGUUCCGUUGGUUUCUUCAUCGGCGAAUCCUCCGAAUACUUCAAUUAUGAACUGGCCUUCAACAUCCGAAGAUUCUUACAUAAUCGCGUGUACUGAUCUGAUUCUUCUCAUCCCUCAACACUUACAAGAACUGGAUCGUCGAAAAUCAGUGCCACGUGAUGAUCAAUGGAUCCAGAAACUAUGCCAACUGGCAUCACUGAGCAGUGGAUGCUCUGCGUAUCGUCAGUGCAAGAAGCUUUUGCUCGCAAUGUGCCACAAUGAUGAGAACAAGUACAAAAUAAUGAGAGACAAGUAUAAAAUGCAAGAUCUAUUGCAACAACUCGUGAAAAAAUAUUUGGAUGUUAGCAAAGAGGUUGGCGGACAUCAGCAAUUGACUGAAAUUGUUGAUGUACUUGCGUCGAUUACUAAAUUGGCAUUGAUUCGACCUGAUAUGUGGAGAGAUGUUUGCAGUACUCAUACGACUUGGCUUCUCCGCCUCGCUUGCUACACAACUGACGUCGUUGCUUCACAAGUCGUCGAACUUCUUAUUGUAGCUGUUCGAGAUAGCAGUGUUGGUGGACAACUGAGUAUUCAACUGGCUGAUAGUAUUGUGGAGGCUGAAAAUGGAGAAUUUAUUGAGAAAAUCAUCAAAAGAUUUUUAAUUGGAAGAGAUGAACAGUUGAGAUGGACACUUCAUGGAAUGCUUCGUUCGGUUAUUCAACUUGCCAGUCGACAAAAUCAAUGUAUUCUCGUUAAGAAGCUUUAUAACACAAUUUAUCCACUUGCGGCGAAUCUCGGAGUUCAAGGAGCCCAACUUGUUGAUUUAAUUGCAACUUAUGCUCCAAGAGUUUUCAGUUCAACGGAACUUGUUGCAAUGACACAAUCAGAAAUCUCAACUAUUGAAAAAAUAAGGAACACUUUGAAUGGAGACGGAUAUCAAGGAAUGUACAAACUGAUGAGUGAUCUUGGUCUCGGAUGGAAAUCUAUUAAUUUUGAUAGAAAUCCAUGUUUGGUAUGCUUCACGAGUAAAGGAAGUCAUGAUGUUGUUAAAAUGACAUCAAUCAAAUCGGAUAUUCGAUAUUCGGCGAAUACGAUAAUUUACAAGCUGAUUUCGAAUUAUGAAGUGUCAAAAGUGACGAUUAAGCUGACCGAGCUGAAAAAGAGCAAGUCGAUCAAGAAAGUUUCCCUCUACUAUUCUGCGAAAUCCGUUGAAUCUGUUGAUUUGAAGCUUCAUCCAGAACUUUGGAGAAAGUGUGCAAUGGUUACUGUAGCUGAAAAUGAGACAGUAAUCAAUCUAUCAUUAGCUGUUCCAGUUGUCACUUCUUCAUUGAUUGUUGAAUUUGAAGAAGUCGUUGAUCAUCGUGGAAGUAGUCAACUUCAUUGUCCCCGUUGUACAGUACCUGUACGUACACAUUCUGGAGUUUGUGAAAGUUGUGGAGAGAACGCGUUUCAAUGUGCAAAGUGUCGAGCGAUCAAUUACGUUGAAAAGGAGCCAUUUUUAUGUCAGAGUUGUGGUUUUUGCAAAUAUGCUCAGAUUAGUCUGUUCGUGGUUUGUCGAGCACUUCCCGGAGCCCAGCAUAUCACGUGUGACGCUGAAAGAGGACAAUGUGUACAGGAGAUUACACAGCUUUUGAUUAAAAUGGAGACUACGAAGACGAAACUCACUGGAUAUAGGGCGGCAUGUGAAUCUCUGUACCUCAGAAAUCGACCACUUCCACCAUACAAGCUUCACGUCGAGAAUAAUCAUACAUCCGAAUUUUUCGAUGCAAACGGAACAAUGAAUAUUGAACAAUUACCGUUUCAAUCAAUUACAAUGCCAAUGAAUAAUCUGGCAGUUGCUAUUCGAACUCUACACUCGGAAUUAUGUCAACAAACUCAACAAUUAAUGUAUUUACACGAAGAACUCAAUAGAUAUGAUCAUGCUAGUGAAGUUUCUGUUGUUUUUCAUAAACCACAGAAUAUUUCAUAUUACUCAACUGGUCAAUCAUGUUUCGGAUGUCUGUGCAAUCAACUUCUUCAUUCAGUGGCUCUACUUCAUUCUUCAUGUGAUGAUGAAAAUGCUUUAAAUUUGAUUCUUUCAUCUGAUUCUCUUAUUGAAAAACUAGGAGUUUUAGCACAAACGUAUGAAACACUUCGAGAAGAAGUCGAAGAACUUCUUGUUCGUUUAAUGUUUGAUCGUCUGGAUGUUACUACAAAAGUUGAGAAACUAAUUCAUACUGGAGACAUCAAUUUGUCAGUUAUGGUCAAAUCAUUGAUGUAUGCAGCCGAUCCGACUUGGCAGCAAAAGCUGAAAUUGCUUAUUCGAUUGGCAAUGGAUAAACGAGAUGAAAAUUGUUGUCUGCAGGCAUUGAUGGUUUUGAGUAAAUAUUUGGAGGCGACGAAAAGUGUGACUUUGGAUGAGAGAAAGAAGAUAAAAUUGACUCCAAAUAAGAAUAUUACCAAGUGGCUGACAACUGAUGAAGAAUGGAAAGAUUGCUUCUCGGUAGCAUCAACUUCAACUGCUCCAACUAAAUCAUUGCCUUCAAAUCCUUAUCAAUGGAUCACAGAUUGUCUAUUCUCUCAAUGGAUGUCUGUUCGUUCAGCAGCUAAUCAGCUUCUCGUCAAUCUCUCGAGACAACAAUUCCAUGAACCAGUUGCUCUACUAAUUCUAUGUGAGAAUAUGUCGAAACUCUCCGAUGUUCCAUCAUCAGUUUGUGAUCAAUUCAUGUGUUCUGCUCAUACAAUUAUCGAUUCAUCAGUUAACACGAAAGCUCGUUUAUUUGUUCAACAAUUCCAUGUUUAUCUAAUCAAACGAAUUCAUGAGGAAUGUGCAAAGUUGCAUGAGCAAAGUGUGAAUCUACUUUCGGAUAAUAUGUUUGGAGAACGUCUUCGUUGUUUCGUUGAGCUUCUUUCUCUUCUCCUAUCUGGAUCCAAUGUUGAGAAUGUUCUUUUGAAAGCCGGAGCCGAUGAUUUGCUUAUUUUCCUUCUACAUUCGACGAUUUUCCUGAAAAGAAUAAUGACACGAAGGACAAGAGCCACUGAUUCAUCGAGAAUUGCAUUGGAAAAAUUAUUGAAACGAGUUUCAUGUAGAGAUGGAACGAAAUUGAUGUCGGUCUGUGUGGAAUCACUGAAAUUGGUGAAAGAUACAUCGACAUUGGGAAUAAUUGUUGGUGUAAUGAUGGAGAUUAUGGAUCCACAACAAGAAACUGAAGAAUCUUUUUUGAUUCAAAUUGAGAAAGAUAUUGCGCAGGAGGACUUCUUGCAGGGAAGAAUGACACAUAAUCCGUAUAAUUCGAGCGAUCCUGGAAUGGGGCCAUUGAUGCGUGAUAUCAAGAAUAAAAUCUGUAGAGACACAGAGAUGAUAGCUUUAAUGGAAGAUGAUAAUGGAAUGGAAUUACUUGUAAAUGGAAAUAUAAUAUCUCUAUCAUUAAGUGUUCGAGAUGUUUAUGAUCGUCUUUGGAAACGUUCAAAUAAUGGAUCACCGAUGCUUAUUGUCUACAGAAUGCGUGGAUUAAUGGGUGAUGCUGUUGAGACUUUUAUCGAGAACUUCGGAGUUGCUGAUAAUUCGGAAGCUGAUGAUGAAGAGGAUGAGCAACUUGUUAGAAUGACACAUUGUUUAAUGGAAUGCGGUGGAAUUGAUAAACUUAUGGAUUUGUUGACGACUAAUGUGGAUUCUUCGUCUGGAAGUUCCAGAUUCCUCCUCUGCUACCUCCGAAAGAUCUUCGAACGAAUUGUAAAGAUUCCGAUUGGCAGAAAGAUUCUCGUUCAACGUCGGAUGGUGGAACGAAUGAUGUCAGUGAUCCGAACAUGUUGUGCUGAUCCGACAAACGAGUCGAAAGUUCUGAUUGGCAUGGAAUUGUAUAAAGUUGUCGAAUUCGUAGUGUCCGAUAAGCAUGUUCAAGAUAUUCUGGGUGGAAUUAGAGAAGAUGAUGCCAUGUGGUGGUUUGAUCUGUUCGAAAAGCGUGGAAAUGAAGAAGGAUCAGUGACAGAGCUACAUCGAAAGACUGCACAGAUUCUUGAUCAAAUGACUAUGAGCAUUGGAAAUAUUGUAUUGGGAAAUGAUGCAUCGGAGGGUGUUCUAGUGAAAAUGUACGAGAAAGUUUUGAAAUGGGAGCAAAUUGAUUCAGGAGCACCACCUUCAGGAGCCACCGAUCAUCAGAAUCGUUCAAGGAUUACGAAGAAAGAUCAGAUUAUGUUGAUGACUGAACAGCUGGCUACGAUCACUUCGAACAUUAUCUCAUCUGCUCAUGGAAUUCGUUUGAAGCAAAAGAUUCUUGACAGUGGAGUCAUCUCAUCCACGUGUAAUUAUCUUACCAAAGAUCUUCCGAAUCUCUAUCAGCCAACAGAAUCACCUGAAUGGAAAGUGUUUUUAGCGAGACCAUCGCUCAAGUUGAUUCUCACUCUUCUUGCCGGAUUAGCACGUGGACAUCAAGCUUCACAGAAGGAAAUUGCGAAAACAACUCUGAAGCUGAUGCAUCGUCUCGAGCAAGUAGCGUCGGACAACUCGAUCGGAACACUCGCCGAAAAUGUGAUCGAGGCGUUGAAUGAGGAUGAGGAAGUUCGGAAUCAAAUCAAGUUGGUACGGGAUGAAACUGAAAAGAAGAAGAAACAAAUGGCAAUGUUGAAUCGAGAAAAACAAUUGACAAAGAUGAGAAUGAAGGUUGGCACUGGUGGACAGAUUAAGGUUUCUUCCCGAACAUUGCACAAUGAGCCAAGCAUCGACGAUUCUGACUCACUUCCAUGUUGUAUUUGCCGUGAAAGUGUGAUAAGCGGUGACAAAUCAGCUGGAGUCUACGCGUUUGCGGCAAUUGAUCCAGAUUCUGGAAAGACGAGCACUGUUUCAAUGAUGGUUAUGGUUCACUUUAAUUGUCAUAAAGAUGCAAUUCGUGGAGGUGGUGGACGUGCAGCUGAUGAAUGGACACGGUCUAAACUUCAUAAUGCUGGUGCAAAAUGUAAUGUCAUAACGCCGAUUUCGAUGGGAGUGGUUAUUGGUGAUGCGUGGAUUGAUGCACUUCAUCGAUUUGAAAAUGAUGUUGGAAGAGUUUCCGGAUUGGCUCACGGAGUUGUUAACCGGAAUUUCGUUUUUGUGGAUAUCUGCAAUUUGAUUGAUCGAUUCAUUUACAAAAGAUCAUUCUCCAAUCAAUCCGAAGGUGGAGGUCGUGAAUCAAAUAUGCAAUAUCUUGCAAUUCUUCAUCUUCUUGGAAUCACUCUUCCAGCCGACGCAGAACUUGAAAUCUCUGCUCCGAAUCAUCGUCUCAUUGCGUUCCUCUUCACCGAGCUAACUGCUGAUAGUUGGAAUGAUCAGAGGAAUGAUGUACUCCGAGCAGGAAUUAAUGAUGCUCAGACAAAUGGAGCACCCGCCACGUGGGAUGGAUUCAAGCCAACACUAAUGACAUGGGCAUUUGUAGAUGCAUAUUUCAAUAAGGUUAUCAAGAUUACUGGAGAGGAUCGUCUCGAAUGGCUCCGUGAGCAUCUUGUAGAGACUAUCAACAAGACACGUGGAUUCGUGGAUGACUUUGACUCAAAUAUUCUCCCAUGUGAAGAUGUUGCAGAAUUCUGCGAUGUAACUGGAGCUCCGAUUGACGAUGUCAACUUGUUCCUGGCAGGAGGACCACCGCAAUAG